CAUAUUCUUCAGCAGAAUUUUGCUUCCCUGGUUCAGUGAAAUAACUCAGCAUGUGCCUCCCUGCUUUUGAUGGAAUUGCUGCUAGCAGAUGUUCAGCCACAUUUCAGAGCUGCAGGCUUUCAGUCUGCUUCUCUGAAUUCUACAGUCUGCAAUAUUUUACUGCGCAUAAAUAUUCCCCCAAGCAGACUCUUCUGCAGAUAAGUAGACAGUUCAUUAGAUUUUAUGUCAUACUUACAGUAUCUGAAGUCUUACAUCUUCAAAACAUUUUAGUAAAAUUUAAUUAAUUAAUAUCUCUGCAAUUAGGAGUGCUCAUGAGAAAAGGUCAUUGACGAUGCACUGCCAAGGCUCCAAGUGGUUAUCACAGCUUCAAAGAGUCAUAAAUGCAUGUUUUCAAAACUCUCUCUUCUCCUCAGACUACUUUGCAUGAUGUUAGGAACACUUAGCUUCACCUUGGGAAAGGAAUACAACCUUUUAAAAGCUUGACAUUUUUGUCAGCAGUGCAUGAGAAAAAUAUAAGUAAAGCUGUUUGAAAAAUUAUGGCUAUGAAAAGUUCCUUUUCUUCUUCAGAGAAAGUUUUUGAAAAAAAAUCUGUUCAUACACUGCUUCAACAUACCUAAGUGAAAAACAUAUGUUUUAAAUAAGCUCACAAAAGUAAUCUUUAGAUUAAGAAUUCUAACUAGAUUCUAAAGAGCUGUCAGAAUAACAGUGGAUUUUUUUGUUUGCCAUAUCGUUCUUAAAUGUAUUCUCCUCAACUGACAAAAAUAUUUCAGCAAUUUUUUAUGCCAGAGUGUGUUUAUCCAAUACACUUGUCCCUUUUAAUAAAACCUAGCUGUGAGUAUAGUUAUGUAAUACAUUUUGCUUAUUUAAGCACUGUUAUGUCAAUGAGUGUGUCAUUUUGAUUGCAUACCCAGUCCCAAAGACCAGUUUUAAUUUGCCAAAGAAUCAGGAGGAGGCUUUUCACUCUCUUAUACACAGACACAAACACACACAAGCAAACAAAAGACAAAAAUCUUUAUAGUUUUGCCCUCCUGUACAGAAGCUUGCAGUAAGUUUCCUGGUCUCAGGAGUGGCACAGCUCAUCCCUCAUCGGAACAAUUUUCCUCUGUGAGGUUUUCCUUGGAGCAGAGUUGUUACUUGACAUUCCCAUGACCACAGCAUACAGACCUGUGAUUCUCUUUCCACAGCCGUGAGAUAUUGCUUCAUCUUCUCUCAUUUCCCACCAGACUCCAACAAGCUGUACAUACAAAGAGAGCCUUCUGAAUCUCAAAUUAUGCAUUUCUUAUGACUACAUUAUCUGGCUAUAUAUAUUUUAUAUAUAUAUGUAUUGAUUUUCAAGAAUAAAAUAGCACAGGAACAGAGCGUUGUGAAGAAAGGCUGCAGAACUGUAAUCUAAAUAUCUGUAUGAACUUCAGGUGUCUUUUGUAAGUCAGCUAGCCCCACAAUGCUGAAUAGAAAGGGUGGAAAUCCAUAUCAAAUGGCAAUAAAAACUUAGAAGUCUACUUAAUGUAAACAAUGUCAGUUUGUUUCUUUUCCUAGGUAUCUUAUCCUUUCAGUGGAUCUAAUGAAGUUAGGGGUAAUUUUUUGUUCCAUUCUUAGGAAGUACAGUCUUGCACAAGCUAGGUUAACACCACCCCCUUCUGUUCACACUGACGCUAAACUCAGUCAGCCACACGUCCAGCACAGGAAAACAUGAGUACUCCAGUAUUAUUUGCAGAGCAAAUAGAACAAAUGGAUCUUACUGCUACAGCUUAAUGAUGUACUUUUAAUGAUAUAUUUUUGAUUAAACUAUUUGGGUCAUUCUUGGAACUAGUUUAUUACAAGAAUAUUUGAAUAGCAACUUAAUAAAGUAUCUAAGAGAGAUUGCAAUUUUGCUUUAAAUUUUUAGCAUGAAAAAAUACAAAGCUUAACUAAUAAAACAUUCAUUUGGAUGUUUGGGAGCAAUUUUUCUUAUCUGCAGUCAUUUUCAUUUCAGUAUGCCUCUUGGAUCCUCUGUCAGAGCAGCAUCUCUCCUGAUUUGAUAUUGUGAAGGUUGCGAGGUGGAAAGAAUCUUACUUUUAUGCCUUCUGCCUUACAGGCUUAUUGUGAUGCAGAGAAAAGGCCUAUUACUAAUACAUUAUACUCAGGUGUACCACGUCUGUUGCCAGCAGUCUUGAUGUCAAGUAAACUGACUCACGAUCAAAGAACCCAAAAUUCUGCCAGUGACACCAGGCUCAGAGGCAAGUAUUGAUUUGCUGGGUCUCUGAUUCCUCCAUAAUCACUGCUUGUGACGGGAAGUAGAACACUGCUCUCAUUUAACCAGUUGUACCAAGCCCCUGAAGUCCCUCUUGGAUUGCCCUUGGAUUUCUUGUUAUAACUUCAUCACUGCCUAACUGAUAAAAAAAUGAACAAUAUGUUUGAUUCUGCCCUGCAUGCUUUGAGGAAAGGCCUCUUAUGUCUGAAACUUUCACCAGUGUCAGGAGUGGCAGGGGGAAGACUGGGACAUCUUUUGUAUCACUCUGUAACUGUAAGCAUUCCACGGGUGCUUCGUGCCCUUUGACUUCAUCAACUGGAUAGACUAAAGAGCAUUUACUAUCUUUUUCAUCCCAUAACCUUCUACUUCCUAGCUGAACACACCCUAAUUCACAAUACAGAAGGACUUUCUCUGAAGAGGCUCACAUGAUAUAUGACAGCUGCACACAGCAAAGCUUGUUGGGAAAUUUUUUUUUUGUCAGCCAGGGAGAUCCAGCCACUGCACAGGUCACUGAGCGAAGAAGCAGAGCCCUCAGCUUUCUGCAUAUGGUAUCAUUAGUCGGUACCAUAACCAGCUGAUGUGGUUGGUUUCAUUGAAGGACUGGGUGUUGGAGCAAUGUAUGUGUAGGAAAGUGAACAAUUUUAUGUUGGAACUGUGAUCAUCUGCUUCUUUUGAUAAGAACCAAAGGCUUUGUAAGAUUAAUAAUAAAAAAAUUAUAGA